AGGGAUCAUUACAAGAACUUCCGGGCUUCGGCCUGGUUAUUCAUAACCCUUUGUUGUCCGACUCUGUUGCCUCCGGGGCGACCCUGCCUUCGUGCGGGGGCUCCGGGUGGACACUUCAAACUCUUGCGUAACUUUGCAGUCUGAGUAAACUUAAUUAAUAAAUUAAAACUUUUAACAACGGAUCUCUUGGUUCUGGCAUCGAUGAAGAACGCAGCGAAAUGCGAUAAGUAAUGUGAAUUGCAGAAUUCAGUGAAUCAUCGAAUCUUUGAACGCACAUUGCGCCCCCUGGUAUUCCGGGGGGCAUGCCUGUUCGAGCGUCAUUUCACCACUCAAGCCUCGCUUGGUAUUGGGCAACGCGGUCCGCCGCGUGCCUCAAAUCGUCCGGCUGGGUCUUCUGUCCCCUAAGCGUUGUGGAAACUAUUCGCUAAAGGGUGUUCGGGAGGCUACGCCGUAAAACAACCCCAUUUCUAAGGUUGACCUCGGAUCAGGUAGGGAUACCCGCUGAACUUAA
rnacentral:rRNA from 1 species